rnacentral:rRNA from 1 species
GACGAACGCUGGCGGCGUGCCUAAUACAUGCGAGUAGAACGCUGAAGGAGGAGCUUGCUUCUCUGGAUGAGUUGCGAACGGGUGAGUAACGCGUAGGUAACCUGCCUGGUAGCGGGGGAUAACUAUUGGAAACGAUAGCUAAUACCGCAUAAGAGUAGAUGUUGCAUGACAUUUGCUUAAAAGGUGCAAUUGCAUCACUACCAGAUGGACCUGCGUUGUAUUAGCUAGUUGGUGGGGUAACGGCUCACCAAGGCGACGAUACAUAGCCGACCUGAGAGGGUGAUCGGCCACACUGGGACUGAGACACGGCCCAGACUCCUACGGGAGGCAGCAGUAGGGAAUCUUCGGCAAUGGACGGAAGUCUGACCGAGCAACGCCGCGUGAGUGAAGAAGGUUUUCGGAUCGUAAAGCUCUGUUGUAAGAGAAGAACGAGUGUGAGAGUGGAAAGUUCACACUGUGACGGUAUCUUACCAGAAAGGGACGGCUAACUACGUG